UGAAAAUUCAUCAUCUAAGCAGGUUAGAGGUAUUGAAUCACUUGUUUACUCACAAGACACAUAACACCUAACUAUGAAGAAAAUUGUAUUUAUAAUUGUGGCCGUUAUUACUUCGGCGGUAGUAUCUUAUCCCGUUUUAAAUGAUCCCAAACCAAACACAGACGGGUAUACAACAACUAUACAUCAAUCAGAAAUUAAGAUAAAACCGAGAGCGAAUGGUUAUCCUUUGUUUUUUAAUCAAAUGGACGAUAAAGCAAAGGAACCUUCGAAGACGAACUCUGGAGGCCAUCUAUUCUCACAAGUCACAAAUAAAGCCACAGAUUUAGCCGAAACUACAAGAUCUGUCUUUGAGAAGGAACCAAUCACAAACAUAAAGAGGCUUUCUCCUAUUCGAUUGAAAUUCUAUCCGAAACCGCAAGGAAAUGAAGAAGCACGAAAACGUCCUAAAGAAUUAACGAUUUCCUUGCCCCGCUUCAAAACCGACAGAAAGGGAAAAUGGGUGUAUAACCCCUGGGGUGUCACCUACGCCGAUGUGUGGAGGCUGACUAUGCCAGAUAUAAGAGAUUAUAAUUAUGAUUUCAGAGCCAAAAACGUAUAUAAAACUAAAUUCCCAUUCGAUGAAGUGUGCUUUGGUAGAUCGACAGUGUAUAACAUUCCACCAGUAACGGCGUGGCUUUCUAAAAGGCUUAAAAAUUUGUCUGGAAGUGGUAAUUUGAAUGCUAAACCACUCCAUGUAGAUCUCAGACUGGAAAUAUACCUUCAAGGCAAAUCGGAGGCCUGCCACACAAAUCAGUAUGUGGAAUAUCGGCCGUACCUCGAAUGUGCCAUUUUGCGGCAUAUGAGGAUGGAGUAUUUGAUGCCAAUGUAUCCAAUGAUUCAAAUCGGAAAUAUAUGGAUGUAUAAUACAGUUUUGGGCUGAGACAUCUGAAGUAGGUCAGCGGUGUUGAAACACUUGUUAACCAACUAUGAAGAAUAUUGUAUUUAUAAUUGUGGCGAGCAAAUGAAAUAUAUUAUUAAUAUUAAGAAAUAUACUUAAGAGAUGAUUGAAAACACAUCAUCUAAGCAGGUCAGAGGUAUUGAAUCACUUGUUAACUCAGUCACACACAAUACACAUAAUACCCAAUUAUGAAGAACAUUGUAAUUAUAUUUGUGGCCGUAGGUUUAUUUUAAUUAAAUAAAGGAAAA
rnacentral:misc_RNA from 1 species